AUUGAACGCUGGCGGCAGGCUAACACAUGCAAGUCGAGCGGAUGAAGGGAGCUUGCUCCUGGAUUCAGCGGCGGACGGGUGAGUAAUGCCUAGGAAUCUGCCUGGUAGUGGGGGAUAACGUCCGGAAACGGGCGCUAAUACCGCAUACGUCCUGAGGGAGAAAGUGGGGGAUCUUCGGACCUCACGCUAUCAGAUGAGCCUAGGUCGGAUUAGCUAGUUGGUGGGGUAAAGGCCUACCAAGGCGACGAUCCGUAACUGGUCUGAGAGGAUGAUCAGUCACACUGGAACUGAGACACGGUCCAGACUCCUACGGGAGGCAGCAGUGGGGAAUAUUGGACAAUGGGCGAAAGCCUGAUCCAGCCAUGCCGCGUGUGUGAAGAAGGUCUUCGGAUUGUAAAGCACUUUAAGUUGGGAGGAAGGGCAGUAAGUUAAUACUUGCUGUUUUGACGUUACCAACAGAAUAAGCACCGUAA
rnacentral:rRNA from 1 species